CGCCAUCUUUGAUUUUGAGAUUCCAGCUCUCAGAUCCAUGUUAUUUGUGCAGUUGAAGCCAGAUUCGCGAUUUCAUUACUGCAUAUAUUACCAUAGUCUCAAUCUCUAUCAAGUGAUUGUGCAAAAUCAUCUCAAGCCGGAUUGUUUUCGCUGUAUUUACUCGUGUUUGCAUUUGCAACCCGACGAAGGGACCCGAUACACGUGAGGCUCGAGAUUAGAAUUAUCUACUGCCUUCUUUAGACACAGUUUACUUCAAGACGUAAUUUAAUGUGCUUUGGACACUCAUGAAUGGACUUGAGAUUUGUACUCGACCAAGAGAGGCAAACAACCCAAAAUAAGUGGAUUUUUGGGCUUACAAGGUAGCGGUGCCUCAGACGUUGGAAUCUUCAAUCGCUCACACAAAUUAAUAAAGCUCCGUGAAGAAGCAUUUUGUGAUCCUUGGAGUUGGUUGGUUGUAACAUCUGAUGUGCUGCUUGAAUUGAUCGAGUCUCGUGAGAGGACCUUCAAAAAAUAUAAAUCAUAAUACAAACUUUAGCGAUAAAAUAAUACAAUUUACUAUUGUACAAACCUUCAGGUCAUUUCCCAUCUUAUUGCAAAAUGGACUAGCUGACCUCUUUUUUUACAUCCCAUCUUGUUACAAAAGGGACUAGCUGACCUCUUUUUUUACAUCCCAUCUUGUUACAAAAGGGACUAGCUGACCUCUUUUUUUACAUCCCAUCUUAUUGCAAAAGGGACUAGCUGACCUCUUUUUUUACAUCCCAUCUUGUUGCAAAAGGGACUAGCUGACCUCUUUUUUUACAUCCCAUCUUGUUGCAAAAGGGACUAGCUGACCUCUUUUUUUACAUCCCAUCUUGUUGCAAAAGGGACUAGCUGACCUCUUUUUUACAGGGGCGGAUGUAGGGGUGGCAGAGCGGGCCCCGCCUCUAUUUUUAGAUAUUUGGCUUACAAUAAAUAGGGGUUAUUUGCCGGUUGGGAGAUCUGUAUCAUGAAAUACCGUGACCGAGGUCUUGCAAAUAUUGACUGAGCCUGAAGGCCGAGACAAUAUUUUUUUUCUAGCGCCAGCGAAAACAUACUUUGAGCGAGAAGCGUGCGCAAAAUAUCAAUUCUCGGACCCCAGGCUGAUAUAGGAAUCUCCGGACCGUUCUAUUAGCCAAUCAGAUAUAAAUAACAAGAAAUAUAAGGAAAUCCACGGAAAAAAAAUAAGUCCCCCCUUUCUUGAAACUUUUGCUUCAGCCCCCACCCACCCUUUGAUGCACCUCUGUUUUAUGUGUGGAGACUGACCUCUUUUUUAAGCGUGGAAAGAAGGUCAGCAUCCGUAGGCAAUUCGGCCCACGUUCGUGCGAGACCAUCGUAUCGUUUCUUGACCUGAAAAUAAACAACCGUUUACUACAUUCCCAUAUUUAAUGAAAAUGGGACCAAAAAGAUUAAAUGUCAGUUUGUUUAGAUUCAAAUUGUUUACAUACCUUGGGGAAGCGUAUGUACGUUGGUCUUAUUAUGAACAUCUUGAUACCAAAAAAUAGUGCUGCAAAUAUCACAAUGUUCACAGCCAUGAAAUAACAAUUUAAAAAACAACUUGAUAAAUCCCUGACACUCGUCAAUUCAGAGCCAUAGCAUUCCACUCAAGAUUGGAGGGGGGGGGGCACAAUUCAGAAACAUUAGGAAUAUAUUGGGGAGGGCACAGCCACGCCUCUUGUCAUUUCCUUAUAUCUUUUUUGAAAAUAUUGGGUUGGGGGGGGGGGAUUACGGCUCUGCAAUUUAAGCAGUAAUUUAUUUGGUGUUAUUAACUAGCUGGGGGAACACGGAAUACGCGAUAAACUUACCAAUGAACAUGAAAAGCGUUGUCCCUUGCAAGAAGACUGAACCUAUGAAUGCCAGACAGAGGCAGGUGAAAAGUGUCUUGGUCGCAGAGUGCUGCCAUGUCAACAGACU